GAGUAUGAUGAAGAAAGAAUUAAAAUCCAAGGAGGAACAGAAGAAAAGUAUGUAGAAAAUGUGAUUUCCCCAAGGCUCGUGACAUUGUCUUGUAAGGGAAGAUGGGUCUGACUGCCAGUAGCAGCCUUAAACAAAAUAAUCAAAAAAGUGAGCCCCCGCACAUAAGCUCGAGACUAUCAGAAUUCUUCAGGGCAGAAUAAGUUGGGCCUUUAUUUCCCUCUGCUGCUUCCCUGGUAAUUGUUUGAAGAGUCCUGUGAAGACUUCUUUUUAAUUCCUCUCACUGUGAGGACCAGCCUCUCACACCUUGCUUUCAAAUACUGGAAAUAUCCUCUGAGGCUCCUCUGUGCCUCCAAAGGUCAAGGAACUGACAUUUUAAUAUCAGGCGCAUAACUUGGGAAGCUAGCAGAAAGGGGAAGUCUCCAGAGAUUUCAGAAAGUCUGAAGACAUUUUUGGUUUAUACAAGCGGGAAGGUACUACCCGCUUCUAAUGAGCAGAGAACAGGGAUGCUGCUAAACUUCCUACAAUGCAUAGGACAACUUCUCAUAAAAAAGAAUUAUCUGGCCCCAAAUGUCAACAGUGCUGAAGUUUUUUAGUGGGUAUCAUUAUUUUAUCUGCGUUCUCAUCUCUUACCAGAUAGUUACUGUGCUGUUAUCACUGCUGCUGCUGUUUUCCAAUCCUACCCAAGCAAUUUUGGAAGGUAUUCAAGCAGUUCUCAGCUCCACUUUUAGUUACCUGUUCUUGAGCUAAAAAACAUUCUCUAAACUUUCUAUGUUGGAAACAUGCAUCUUUACGAUCAUUAUUUUUUCACAGAGACCUUUUUAUUAUUAUAACCUACUUGUUUCUGUCUCGUAUUUAUCACAACCAAGGACUUGCAGUCUAUGCUUACUCUACUAUUAUUAUAGUUUUUUGGACCAUGCAUUGGAACAUUUUUUUUUGACAUCUGGAUAUGAUGACAAAGCAUCAUCCAAAGGCAUUUUAUACACUUUUCAUCGUGGGAUAAAUUUUUGUCUUAGUUUACUUCCACCUCUUAAAAUACAGACAACAGUUUUUGUUUUUCCUCACAAAAGAGUUUCAAGGGUCUUGUUAUCCCAAGGCGAUUAUGACUUGUCCCAAAUGAAUAAUAACCAUCAUGGGUCUAUCUUCAGCCAGAUAUAAGAGUUACAUUGAAAAAGAAUAUAUUCUGUGGAAUUGCUAUCCUGACAAAUAUCUUUAUCAAGCAUCUGAACUGUGAUGAAUAUGGCUCCUAAUAUUAUUUAUCUUCAGAACUUUGUUUCAGUGGGUUGAUUUAUUGUUUAUUCAGUGGACAGAAAUUACGGUCUGGCUGAACACUCACAUAGGUUUUGAUUUCCAUACAAAAGUCUCACUUUCUAAACAGACUACUAAUUUCCUGGUUCGAUUCUCAGUCAAAAUCUAACUUUCAAAGAAUAUGUACCUUUGCUGGACAUUAUGUCAAAAGCCCUUUAGGCAGCUUCAGCAAUUGUCCUCAAAGCCCCUCAAAGGCUGAAAGGAGAACAGAAUAGAGCAGAAUAUAAGGUUUAAAAGACAGCUCUUCAGUCAAAAAUAAGUUGAAUAAAUAAGCAAAGAAGUCUUUGAGAAAGCCUUCAUUUGACAAAGUAGAAGUAUCCAUCUUCUUUCUCAUUUCUACCAUGACUUAGAAAAUACAUUUAUAUUACAAGUCAUCCCUUAGACAGUGCAUCCAGAUAAAUAGAUAUCAGAAAGGGCACUGAGAUAAAUAGAUAUCAGAGCUGGCUCUCUUUUUGCUUUACCAAGCUUUAUUUCCCGAAGGCACAUCAACAAUGUGAACUAAAUGGUAUCAUUCCACAAUUCACUUCUCAGUGCUUAAGUCAGGUGGUGACAAUCCUGAGUUUAGCUACCUUGAAUAAUAGGUUGGAAAAAAAAUAUAAAGAGGAGUAGGAAGCUGAUAAAUAGAUUCAAUUGUUCUAUUUCUCAGAUGGAUGAACUAAAAAACAAAUCAGGCUAAUCUGAGACUUCACUUGGGAGCUAUGUCAGUUCUAAGUUAAAGCUGCCACUGAAUAAUGCCUUGCCAAAAAAUAAAGUCUUAUAGUCAAUCCUUUAGUGUAUGUCUCAUUCCAAGGCACUGCCUCCUUGAUUUUUGUGCUAGGUUGUCACUGUGAUUGAAUUGUGAACUUGUUCUCUUUGACCUCUAGAAACUUUAAGAAUUGUCUAAGAGAUUUUUUAAGGUCAAGAUUAUAUUGAGAGACAUUAUGCUAUGUAGAUAAAUACCAUGGAAAAAAGGAUAGAGUAAUGACUUGUCAAGACAUAAAGGAUUAUAGAAAAAAAUAUUAAAUGUAGAAAACUUUUUUUAAAUGUGUGUGUGUGUGUGUGUGUGUGAAUGAGAAUCCUCUUUAGAAAGAAAGCUUUCACUCUGAAGGAAUAUAAAAGUAAAAUGGUUGGAGAGCUUCCCCAAACAAGGAUUAUAAACUCCUUUACAUCAUAAAUGAAAACAUACUUAAACAGCUGUUUAAUAUUUAAAAUUCUUAAGUUAGGAAAGCAAAAUUAUUUUUUUUAUGAGAAACUACCCCAGGGACUUGAAAUUGCUCAAUAAGAACAUUUGUACAUCUAUUCUUAAAGCUUUGAGUUCAGAAGUUAAUAGGUAGUCAAUAUACUGUGUAACUUCCAUGCAUGGAUGAGUUAGAGUUUUAAUAAUAUUAAUCUUCCAAUAUUAGGACAUUAAUGUCAUAAUACGAUGCCUGGAAUUCCCUUAAAAUGCCAUUGGAAAUCCCCUAUAUAUAUUUUUUACACUGUGAAAAAGCCAAGGAAAUUAUUAUGAGGUUAUCAAAGUGAUAGAGCUGCCAAUAUUGCUUAUCCAAAGCUAAAAAAUCCAAAUUUCUUAAAAUUUUCCUUCCAAAAAAAUAAUAUAUGGUGGAAACAUGACUUUCAAGAAUGGUAUUACACUCAGUAGGACAUACAUAAAGGAGCUAUAGUGAACAGCUCAAAUGGAAGGGAGGGGAAGGGAAAAUGAAAUGCUCAAACAUGAUCUGAUGGUAUAAAGGACUUCACACCAAAUAAGAUUUUAAUACUACAACAUUUGGAAUUGCACUUAGCUCUGGUGUUUCUAUGCAAUAGAAACUUGGGAAAUUGACUGGAUCUUUCUAAACCUCAGUUUUUCCUUUGGUAAAAUGGGUUUGGCAUUGCUUAUCUUGCUGGAGUAUUAUGAAGAUUAGGCAAAACAAUGCAUUGAAAAAGCUUUAUAAGUUGUAAAGCAGCUGCUGUGGUUGUUUUUGUUGUUGCCAUUCUGUUGUUCUUGUGUGUAUAUACUUUAUCAAUAGUUCUCAAACAAUGCUGUACAUUAACAUCCAGAGUGGAAAUAUCUUCAAGAUUCACAUGCCUGGAUUCCAUUUGAGUGUUGAAGCUGGGCUCAAACAUACCUAUUUGGAAAAGCCUAUCCAGACAGUUCUGGUGGGCAGCCCAUGACGUUUAUCCUCUACUCUCAAGCCUCAGACUUCCUAAUCUCUAAUGUUUUAUAACUACCAUGAAAUAGAGGACCAUAAGCAGGCAUUCUCUCUUCUUCAGUCUCAGAAUUCAAUCAAUGGUUAUUUUGUCCUGUAAGGUUACAGUGAACUGCUGAAAUACGGAAUUUACUACAAUGGUGAAGAUUCAUAGUUUGGGGAAUAAAUGAUUCAAAAGCUUAAA
rnacentral:lncRNA from 1 species